CUGAAAUGGCUCCUGCUGUGAUGGUCUUCUUCAGCCUGGAGACCCCCGCAGCUGCUGCUGGCCCAGGUUUGGUGAGCAUGUCCUCGCUGCUUGCCCGCUUCAGCUGUGACACAGAGGGUGAAACAGGUUUUUGUGAAGUGGGUUAAGAGAUAAAACACUUUU